rnacentral:rRNA from 1 species
CCUACGGGUGGCAGCAGUGAGGAAUAUUGGUCAAUGGUCGGAAGACUGAACCAGCCAUGCCGCGUGCAGGAAGAAUGCCUUAUGGGUUGUAAACUGCUUUUAUAUGGGAAGAAUAAGGAGUACGUGUACUUUGAUGACGGUACCAUAUGAAUAAGCAUCGGCUAACUCCGUGCCAGCAGCCGCGGUAAUACGGAGGAUGCGAGCGUUAUUCGGAAUCAUUGGGUUUAAAGGGUCUGUAGGCGGGCUAUUAAGUCAGGGGUGAAAGGUUUCAGCUUAACUGAGAAAUUGCCUUUGAUACUGGUAGUCUUGAAUAUCUGUGAAGUUCUUGGAAUGUGUAGUGUAGCGGUGAAAUGCUUAGAUAUUACACAGAACACCGAUUGCGGAGGCAGGGGACUAACAGACGAUUGACGCUGAGAGACGAAAGCGUGGGGAGCGAACAGGAUUAGAUACCCUGGUAGUC